CAGCGGCGGCGGAGGAGGUGGAGGAGG
rnacentral:sRNA from 1 species